CGAGGAAGAAGCAGCAACAGGAAACAACAGUAUUCUUGCAGAUACUGAGAUACAGCCAGUCUGUUAAUACCCAAAAAAUACAUAACAAUUCAUAUUGUAUCCUUUAUUGUUCAUUUAUGUAUUUAUUGAAUUUCUACACCACCCUUCAUCCAAGGAUCACAGGACAAUUUACAGUAUAAAAACUGAAAAAUACAUAACAUAGUAACAAACAAAAACAACAGCCCCCUUCCCCCGCUGCCUAAUGGUUUAAAUGGUCAUGCAUGGGAGCUUUUGAAUUUUUUAGCUUCUAUUUUCCUUUCCGUUUGUUCGUUUGAUUUUUGAAAACUCGUCCUGCUCUUGUGCAGAUCAGAGGCUUCCACGGCUGUCUGUUACACUGCAGUUUGAAAGCAGGAGGGGGAGAAGAGUUCGUGGCACAUUUGGCAUUUACUUUUUGCAGCUUUCUCUCAUGUGAUCUGCAUUGCUCUGUGACUCACCCAGUCUUCCACGUGGGCUGGCUUGCAACGAAAAACUUCCUCUGCAUGCAUGCCUUCAGAGCGUGAUCUCAAACCCUCCGAGUGUCCCUAUUCCCCAGGGACAGUCCCGGAUUUACAGAAGCCGUACCGGUUCCUGAUUUCAUCCCAGGAUAUCUCGCUUUUCCUUAGAAUGUCCCUAUUUUCAUCGGAGAAAAGUUUGAGGGCAUGGAGUUAUGUGACACCCUCCCCCCGAGCCAAGGAGAUAAGUACAGUCAAGCCUCUUCUUACGUCCACCUCCGCUUGCGUCCAUUUCACCCAAUGUCCGUGGCAAACCCAGAAGUAACCAGCGGGUUUGCCGUCGUUUGCGCAUGCACAGAAGUGGCGAUCAGCACCCGCGCAUGCACAAUGCACACAGCGGCGCCUCUCCCAGCGACCUGUUUCGACCUCCGGAUGGACCUCCAGAACGGAUUAUGGUUGCAGGUCAUCGAGGGAGAUGGCAGGAGAUCAGCAGGAGUCCUGCCAAGGACUGCAGGGCUUGGCGAAAGGUUCGGAAUCUUCCGAGGCAACUUUUUUCCCCCUGACCUCCUCUCCCCCUUGGCCAAACUCACAUACACAGCUCUCCGGUCGGACGGUGGUAUUGUUUCGGAGCUUGAAACGGGUCCAAUAUUUGGCCUUCACUUCCCCUCCGCAGCUCAGGAGACAUUCUGUUCUCACACACUCUAAUGGCUCUUCUCUAAUGAGCACAUGGAAAUAACAAGGAAAACUAAAGCAAUUUGGCUCGGUUUUGAGGAGGUGUGCCGGGGAGCGGGGGAACGAGCAGAGAGGAACAAAUGCUGAAAAGCCAAGGCCUCUAUUUUCCAAUGCUGCUAGCCAUGACAGGGGUUUUCUGAAAGCUCACCUUUUCAAAGGGCAAAGUCUGAAGUUUGGCUCUGCAGUGCAGUGAUUUGUUUAUAAUUAUAUGUUGAGAGUAGAGUUCCUAGGAAGGCCAGAUGCACAGAUCCUGCUCAAACACCCCUAAGGAUAGUGGCAAGGGGAACAGAGGGUGAGGUGGAGAAAUGUCCCCGCUCAGAAUCACAGAACUGCAGAGUUGGAAGGGCCCUGGGGUCAUCUAGUCCAACCCACUGCAAUGCAGGAAUCUUAGAAAGAGCAGCCCCACUCUCAGUGGCAUAGCAAGGUCAGGUGGUACCCAGUGCGGAAAAUUUCUUGUCACCACCCCCCAUUGAAAUUAUUAUUAUUUUUUGCCUGCAAAAAUGGUUUGACUUUAUUUCAUAUUUUUGAGGGGGGGGCCAGAGUUGUUGAGCUUUUUGGGGGGAGCCAGAGUUGUUCAGUGUUAUGUACUGAGUUGAAUAGGAUCCAAAAGGCAGCAGUCUGAUUGGUGCUAGAACAAUAGGAUUCAGAAUGCAGCAGUCUGAUUGGUCCUAGAACAAUAGGGUCCAGAAUGCAGCAGUCUGAUUGGUCCUAGAACAAUACAGCAGUAUGACUGGUCCGCAGAAGCCACCCAAUCCAGCUCCAGGUGAAAGUGAAUCCGCAACCUGAUUGGCCUACAGGAGAA
ensembl:lncRNA